GGGGACGUAGCUCAAUUGGUGAGAGCGCCGAGUUUAUGUCUUGGAAGAUGUGUAGGUUCAAGUCCUUCCGUCCCUA
rnacentral:tRNA from 1 species